rnacentral:rRNA from 1 species
GAUGAACGCUGGCGGCGUGCCUAAUACAUGCCAGUAGAACGCUGGAGGAGGAGCUUGCUCUUCUGGAUGAGUUGCGAACGGGUGAGUAACGCGUAGGUAACCUGCCUGGUAGCGGGGGAUAACUAUUGGAAACGAUAGCUAAUACCGCAUGACAACAGUUAUUGCAUGAUAACUGUUUAAAAGGGGCAACUGCUCCACUACCAGAUGGACCUGCGUUGUAUUAGCUAGUUGGUGAGGUAACGGCUCACCAAGGCGACGAUACAUAGCCGACCUGAGAGGGUGAUCGGCCACACUGGGACUGAGACACGGCCCAGACUCCUACGGGAGGCAGCAGUAGGGAAUCUUCGGCAAUGGACGGAAGUCUGACCGAGCAACGCCGCGUGAGUGAAGAAGGUUUUCGGAUCGUAAAGCUCUGUUGUAAGAGAAGAACGAGUGUGAGAGUGGAAAGUUCACACUGUGACGGUAUCUUACCAGAAAGGGAUGGCUAACUACGUG